ensembl:lncRNA
CAGAAAUAUAAAACUAUAGAAAAUUCACUUACCCUUAGGCCAUCCAAGAUGGAGCCUAUGUGAGUUUGUUUCUUCACCUGAACAGAUUUGGAGAAAUUUAUUCAAAAUGUUCUGAUAGCAACUGAUGAGCAAGUCAUGUAAUGCUAAAUUUCUCCAAAUCUGUUGCAAUUAAGAAAUACACUCAUUUAUAUCUUGGAUGGCCUGAGAGUAAGCAUAAGGCUGCAAAAUAACAACUUGAAAAAAUGAAAACACUUGACAUUUAAAACACUUUCCACUAUAUCACUAUUCAAAAGACAAAUACCAGAAUUCAUGUGCGUGAUAAAAAAAUAAGUUAAUCAGACUGGCUCAGAUGAUGAUGUUCAUUUAUCUUUUCUCUAGUGAUCACAGAUGAUCCAACCCCAGAGGACAGUACGGUUGUUCAGACUGAAGACAACAACAAUUACGAGAGUGAAACAGCGAUAACUAAUUCAACAGUAGUGGUGAUGACCACAGUAGUGUCUCUGUGUGUCCUCAUAUCACUGACCAUCUGUGUCAUUGUGUAUUUCAAAAAACGAAGAUGCAAAAUCGACAGCCAAAUUGAUUUGAACUGUCAGUCUUCCGUGUAUUAUUCUGACAUUUCAGGAGUGUUGGAUGUGCCUUUGUAUUCUUUAGUUCAACGUAACACAAACUAUGGCCACAUGUAAGUUACGGCAAUGCAGUAGUGAAAUCAUUCAUUUGAUAUCUGUCC